UGAAUCUCUAAGUGCUGUCGAUUUUUACCUUAAAAAUAGAUUUGAAUUCAUUUACCAAGGGCACAGAGGAAAGGAGAAUGAAUCAGGAGGAUCUCAAAGUGAAGAUGCUUAGACACAAGAGACAGAAGACAUGCAGGAGCUGUGCUAGAUACAACUCAGGAUGUAUGCAAUGAAUUUAGGAAUGAAUAGAUGAAACAAUGUAGUUUGAGAUAGCAACACCUGAGAAUAGAUUCAUCUUUCAC
ensembl:lncRNA